rnacentral:rRNA from 1 species
GACCUACGGGAGGCAGCAGUGGGGAAUAUUGCACAAUGGGGGAAACCCUGAUGCAGCGACGCCGCGUGAGCGAAGAAGUAUUUCGGUAUGUAAAGCUCUAUCAGCAGGAACGAGACAAGACGGUACCUGACUAAGAAGCCCCGGCUAACUACGUGCCAGCAGCCGCGGUAAUACGUAGGGGGCAAGCGUUAUCCGGAAUCACUGGGGGUAAAGGGAGCGUAGACGGCUGAGCAAGCCUGAAGUGAAAGUCGGGGGCCCAACCCCCGGACUGCUUUGGGACCUGUAAGGCUGGAGUGCAGGAGGGG